GGGACUUCGGAGGAAGGAGAGGCAAACGCACCACCGGGGACGGACGAACGACGACGCUUCCACCAGCGACGAUAGCCAAGCUUUGCGAUUAGGGUUUUCAAACGAGGAAGACGAAGCGGCAGGCGUGGGUCGACUCUCGGCAUUUCGCAAGUCAUCUCGGCCAGCAUGCAGCCCGCACCUCGCAAGCCGCACUUGAAUAGCACCUCUAGGCCUCAUUCCCUUUCGGCCCAAACCGGAGGCACGCUUAGAAACCCUACGCCGACAGUGUUCUUCACAGCCAUCAGCUUUAGCUCCAUCGGCGACUCCGCGCACUCUCGGCUUGGCUAGGUUCGGCUUGGCGGCUUGACGUUCGAAUAGGAUACCGAUCUCUAGGUUUUCGACCCUUCUGGAGCCAUUCUCACCCUGGUUUCAACCAUCUGAGGUAAGGGAAAGGCUCCCAUGUACGGCUGACGAUGGAUGCUACGAAGGCCAUGGAAACUUUGAGGAGAGUUUGCAGUGUCGUAGGCACCUUGUUUGAUUCUUUUGGGUUCAUAGUUAUUGCAAUUGUUUCCUUUUGUUCUCUGUUGAUUAUUUCUAGAUUAGGUUGUCGUUAUUGUUUUCCCCAGGUAUGAACUGCUUAUAAUAAUGAAUGCAUUGUCGU